rnacentral:tRNA from 1 species
GGUCCUGUUUAGCUCAACUGGUAGAGCAUGGCAGUAACACUGCCAGGGUUUAGGGUUUGAUUCCCACUGGGACUGCCCA